rnacentral:rRNA from 1 species
UACGAAGGGUGCAAACGUUGUUCGGAAUUACUGGGCGUAAAGCGCGUGUAGGCGGCUUUGCAAGUCGGGUGUGAAAGCCCUCGGCUCAACCGAGGAAGUGCGCCCGAAACUGCAGAGCUUGAGUACCGGAGAGGAUGGCGGAAUUCCCCAAGUAGAGGUGAAAUUCGUAGAUAUGGGGAGGAACACCGGUGGCGAAGGCGGUGAGCUGGGCAGUUGCUGACACUGAGGCGCGACAGCGUGGGGAGCAAACAGG